rnacentral:rRNA from 1 species
UGGGGAAUAUUGCACAAUGGGGGAAACCCUGAUGCAGCGACGCCGCGUGAACGAAGAAGGUAUUCGUAUCGUAAAGUUCUGUCCUAUGGGAAGAUAAUGACAGUACCAUAGAAGAAAGCUCCGGCUAAAUACGUGCCAGCAGCCGCGGUAAUACGUUUGGAGCGAGCGUUGUCCGGAAUUAUUGGGCGUAAAGGGUACGCAGGCGGUUUAAUAAGUCGAAUGUUAAAGAUCGGGGCUCAACCCCGCAAAGCAUUGGAAACUGAUAAACUUGAGUAGUGGAGAGGAAAGUGGAAUUCCUAGUGUAGUGGUGAAAUACGUAGAUAGUAGGAGGAAUACCAGUAGCGAAGGCGACUUUCUGGACACAAACUGACGCUGAGGUACGAAAGCGUGGGGAGCAAACAGG